rnacentral:sRNA from 1 species
UGAGUAUGCAUCCACCUUCCCUUCUUUGUCUAUCUGUGCAGCAACUGCUGCCUUGGCUUUGAUGGGGCGCAGGGAGGGGGUACAGUGCUUUAGGGGAAUGGCAGACUUGGACGAAUACACAGACUUCCCCAGCCACCUCAGAGUCCUCAUCCUAUGAAGGAUGGGGAAGCCCUGGUGAGCUCCCUGUCUCAGAUGGUCCCCUCCCUGGCAGUCUCUUUCUCUGUGCUGUGGAUUGGAUCUGAAAUGCUACUCUCCUUAGACUUAGACUUUGAAAGAUUGUUCCCUCACUGCUGCUGCUGUUCUAGAAGGGUGUGGAAUCUGAGGAUUUAGAGAGAAAGCAUCAAAGGGUGAGUGACACUCCUCAGAGGCCUCCCUCAACACUGGGAGGAAAAGCCAGACAAGGACUUUGCACGGUGCCCUUUCUAGAGUUUAUUCUAAAUGGACAGCAGUCCUGGUGUGGAGAGACCCUGAUGCCCCCGCUUCUGCUUCACCAGUACAAGAGCUACAGCUGCGGACCACCAUGCCUGCUUUUACCCUCUGCUGGGGAUGUAAGCCAGGGCUUUGUGAAUUCUCGGCAAGCAAUACCCACGGAGCCUUUUUUCUUUACUGUGAGACUUUUGAUCGUGAACUUUGUAGUUGGCAAGGUCCUGUCUCAGGGUCAGAAGUUUGAACACACUUGCUCCUUUGCUGCCUGAAAUGCUACUCCGUGCAGAGUUAGCCCAGCCCUCUCCCCUGUGAGUAGACUGCCAAGGAAGACUUAAGAUCCUUGCUCUGCCUAGAUAUCCAGAGGUGUCUUCUCUGGAGCCCUGGUGUACCAGGCCUUCGCCUUCAUUUCUCCUGCUAGUUCUUAGACCAGAGCUGUCAGGCAAGUCCUGACAGGCAGGAGCCAACACCAACAUGGCGGUGUAUACCUGUGCUUCCAGUACUCAGGUAAGAGCAGCAGGAUUUUGACAUCAAUUUGGACAACAUAGUGAGACUGUCAAAAAAGUAUGUAACAAGAGGAUAUAAAGGUAAUUCUUUUCCUACUUUUAA